rnacentral:tRNA from 2 species
GCCCCUGUAGCUCACCGGAUAGAGCAGAGCGUGCGACGACGCUACGGCAGCGGGUUCGAUUCCCGCCAGGGGUU